UGAAUGGACAAGGGGAGGCAUAGAUGUUGAUGGGCUGGAGGUUGAGAGGAAUCCAAGCCACAGUUCUGUUCUCCUUUCAUCGCGUCAAGCAUUGUGGGAGAGAGUUGCCUCUGAUGAAGAAGGUACAACAGUCACAGCAGGGAGUGAAACAGCGGAACAUAUUCAUGGAAAAAUUACCCAGUGCAUCAGGUUCAGGACGGUGCACACUUUGUUUGGAACCAUCUUCGUCAACCCAACACCGCUUUCAGAAAUGCUAUGACUUAAACGAUGAUGGCGUGUCCUGCCAAACGCAGGUGCUACAGUUUAAUGACAAGCAGGUACUUUAAACAGCUGAAGCCUUUCCGAGAGGAUUAGGGCUCUUAUUUAUGAAAGCGCCAGAGGGUUUGCUAGCUUUCUUUGUGCUGUGUGCUGCUCCCCUGAUGCCAGUGCCCCCCUCAGACGUCGUAGACUCCGCAGCCGUCAGCAGUGCACAACAGAAAGGAAUGGCAUGCCCACUCAUCAUCCACAGAAGAACAGUUUCUGGAAAAGUGAGCAGUCUGGCUUCAUAAUGAUGCCCGAGUAGUCUGGUGGUAACAAAGGAAGAGAAGCGGAUUGAAAAGCUUCAUGUACGUGUGAUGAACACUAAGCUCUUUAAAAUGGAAAUCAAUACUGGAGCUGCUGUGCGAUUGUUCAAAAUCACAGUAUCUAACUGAGGUAAACCUAAGGACAAGCCAUGGUGCUUACCUGAAAGUGGCCACAAAGUUCACCGUGGGCCAGCCCAGGACGAAGGACUUCAGAGCGUUCGUGUUGCCUUCUCCCACUUCGUCCACACAGCUUGCUGUCCACAUGUCAGUCAACUUUAUUUUAUUUUUUAUCUUAAAAUUGUUGUUAUAUCUAGAGAGAUAGAAACCAAAAUGGGUGCUCUUGUUAUUUUGUUUCUUGAAUUUUAUAGCAGGUUCUGUAUUUGUUAUGAGAGGGCAAAGAAUCUCUUAUUGUCCCUAUCUCUUGUCCCUGGAACACCAGAUUAUAUAACAUGGAUGGUUAGUUAGGACUUUUGCAACACGAGGCAAACUUAGUUCUCAUGCUUGCAUUAAUGGCAACAAAUAUCUAUAAAGUAACUUUUUAUAUAUGUUGAGUACUACAGUUGGAUCAAAACCCAACUUAAAUUUGUCAUAAUAGUUAAUUUAUUAUCUGUAACUUGCCUACUUUCAUAAUCAUUUCAAUGGGUACACAUAAAGUGUAAAGUACUUCCAUCUUAGAUACUGAAAAUGAGCAUGGAAUCAGAGAAAUUUAUAAUACACUUUCAAA